CAAGUACUCUUUAUUUAUUGAAGAGCAAGAAUAACCAUCGAGUUAUUGGACUUUGAGCUAAGAUGAAUGUUUAAAUCCUGAGGACUAGGCGCUAAAUAACAGCUGACGCAGGUGCUACGCAGAAGUGGAUUCAGUGAAGCUAGGAAGACAGGAGCGGCAGACAGGAUUCGGAGCCAGUGUUGGUGAAAACUAGGACUGAGGAGCCAGCGGCAGUUCGUGAAGAUAGGAAAGAGAAGCCCGGGAGCCAGUGCGACUUGGUGAAGGAAGCUAGGAAGAAGGAGCGAGUCCUAACGAUUUGGAGGUGAAGCUAGGAGAGGAUUCCAGGAAGGAGGAAGCCAGUGCGGUGUGGUGAAGCUAGCGUGCGGCUUGGCUUGGCAACCACGCGGAGGCGGCGAGCAGGCGGAGUGGAGGAUAGAUAGAGGAUCCUAGAGCAGCAGACCAGUGUACGAGCCCCGCAGGGAGAGCCAGUGGUGUGGUAAAAAUCCGUGAAGUCGGCACUAUCGUGGGUUUUUUUUCCUCCUGUAACUCAGUAUGUGAUGUUUAACUAAAUAUCUCCUGAAGCCAACUGUUGGAAGGUGGAAAAAUCUGUGCAGGAAUCACCAUCUAGUUCUUAAAACAGGAUGGAAAUGUGGCUUGAGACAAUUCUUUCCAAGCAGAUGAAUCAAUAAAAGAUGAAGACAAAAGUGCUCCAUCUUCUGGCCAAGUAUGGAUGUUCACCAGCAGAUAUUUCCUGUUGUAUUAAUAAAAGGAAGCAUGAUGUCGCCGGGACAAGAUCUUGAAGAUAGCUAUUA
ensembl:lncRNA